GCCAUCAUCGCUCGGUCGAUGAUAACCAUGGUAAGGAUGAGGUCACCGGUUCAAACCCGGUUGGUGGCUCCA
rnacentral:tRNA from 1 species